rfam:Bombyx mori DNA, contig: Bm_scaf13267_contig58477, strain: p50T/Dazao, build 2, whole genome shotgun sequence.
GAAUGGAGGAGUGCGGCCUGGGGCAGCCGCUGAACCCUUGGUUCAGCGACUAUCUCAGGGCGCGCUCUUACCGUGU